AUGGACUCCGGCGAGGCACCUGAUGAGCGGAUUCGCGAGGAAGGGGGUUUCCGGAGGAGCGACCGGAGUGCCAGCGAUACCCUGACUCGGCGUCACGCAGAUGGAGCAGGCUCAGACGCUAAUGGGCAUGACCGCGGCCUCACCAAGCGCGCGAAGGACGAAGUGCCGGACUCACCGGAGCCGCCGCCGGCCGUGGGGCCUCGCCGUGUCCAGAGCAGAGAGGAGCAGUUCGUGUGGCCGUGGAUGGGCGUGCUGGCCAACGUGCCCACCGAGCGGAGAGGCGGGCGGCAGAUCGGGGAGAGCGGGAACCGGCUCAAGGAGCAGCUCGCCGCCUUCUGCCCGCACAAGGUCGUGCCUCUGUGGAGCCACAGAGGCCACACCGGGAACGCCAUCGUCGAGUUCGGGAAGGACUAUGCCUCUCUCGGCAAUGGUCUCAAAUUUGAGAGUCACUUUGAGGCACAGGGCCGUGGCAAACUUAGCUGGGAGGCGAGCAGGUGCCGAGGAGCGCCGGAGAUGAUGUUCGGGUGGGUUGCAAGGGCCGACGAUCGACGGAGGCCGGGGCUGAUCGGGGAGUACCUGCAGAGGAAUGGCGAUGUGAAGUCCGUUGCAGAGCUUGAGAGCGAAGGGACGCGCAAGACUGACAAGCUGGUGGCCAAUUUGGCCAGCCAGAUUGAGGUGAAGGCCAAGCAUGUCCAGGAGCUUGAGUCCAAGUACAGUGAGAGGACUACCUCGAUGGACAGGGUGAUGGAAGAGAAGGAGCUCAUGCUCCAGCGAUACAACGAUGAAAUCCACAAGAUGCAGCAGCUUGCUCGUCGGCACUCUCAGAUGAUUAUCAAUGAGAAUCAGAAGGUCCGUUCGGAGCUGGAUUCCAAGAUGCAGGAUCUUGAGCUCAAAUCCAAGCAGCUCGAUGAGCUUGCUGUGCGUAGCGAAUCUGACAUAAGGAAUCUCGAGAAGGAGAAGGAAAAGAACAUGAUCAAGGCAAAAUAUCUCAAGAUGGCAACAUUGGAGCAACAGAAGGCCGACGAAAUGGUCCUGAAGCUUGUGGAAAAACACAAGAGGGAGAAACAAGCUGCUGUAGAUGAGAUUAUCAAGUUAGAGCAGAAACUGGAUGCCAGACAAAAGCUUGAGUUAAAAAUAAAACAUCUGCAGGGAAAAUUGAAUGUUAUGAAGCAUAUGCCAGGCGAGGAAGACUUUGAAUCAAAGAGGAAAAUUGAUGAACUUAGCAAGGAGCUGCAGGAGAAGUAUGAUGAAAUAAAUGAGAUGGAAUCACUCCAUGGGGCUCUGCUUAUUAAGGAAAGGAUGAGCAACGAUGAGUUGCAAGAUGCUCGGAAGAAGCUAAUAGAUGGUUUGUUGGAUGUCACAACUGGCCGAGCAAAUAUAGGCAUUAAAAGAAUGGGUGAUCUUGAUCUGAAAUCAUUUGCGAUUGCCUGCAAACGUAAAAUGGCAAAAGAAGAUGCAGAAGUUACUGCCUCCAUUCUUUGUUCAAAGUGGGAGGAUGAGAUUAGAAAUCCAGAAUGGCACCCUUUUAAAGUUGUUGUGGAUGGCGGCAAAGCGAAGGAGAUUCUCCGUGAGGACGAUGAGAAGCUGCGGGAGCUGAAGGAGAAGUACGGUGAGGAGGUGUGCACCCUGGUGACGAAGGCGCUGCUGGAGGUGAACGAGUACAACCCGAGCGGGCGCUACUCGGUGCCGGAGCUGUGGAACUUCAAGGAAGACCGGAAGGCGACACUCAAGGAGGUGGUGGAGUUCGUCCUCAAGCAGUGGCGCGCCCUCAAGAAGAGGAAGCGCUGA
rnacentral:rRNA from 1 species